UCCCUAUGUGUCAACUCAUCUCGGUGACAUUAUUGACGGUGUUGGGUUCAAGGGCUCCUGAACAACAAUAGGGGGAUGGAGUCGAACUCGCAUCGUCACAGAAGCCACGUGUGAACCUUUUGAGCAUCUGUAUUGAAGAGCUCCUCUUGUAAAAUAUGUGACACCACAACUUACUCCACAUUCCCACUGAAGGGAAGAUUCAGGAUUUUUCUGUUCCUGUAAAACGCUGGGUUGCCGAGGCUUAGAUGAAGGCUGAGCCACAUAUGGAGGAAGCUAACCCAGGACUGGAUCCAGCAGCCUAUGUCCGUAAACUGGAACAAAAAACUUGAGAAAACAGGUGGAAAUAAGGUGACCAGGAGAGUUACUGAGCCACCUUCAACUGACCUGUCUUUCAUCAGACACAUUCUGGAACUACACCUUCUUUCACCAGUGCCGCAUCAGAGUGAUUUCAGUGUCUUCUUACGCUUCACCAUGAUUCUGCUGGAGUCAAUGAAAAAGCUAUCAGUCUUAGCUCAUCUUCUUCAAAGAGAUCUGCCACACUCGAUAACUGUUUAUGGAGGUCUUCAGCACAUACGAAACAAUAAUCCUUUCAACAUGGAGGUGUGCGUUGAUUCAUGGCCAGAUUUCAGAACAGUUGUCUUGCGGCGUCAGAGACAGUUUAUCACAGACGACAAUGACGCCUUUUCCAAUCCAUAUGCAAUAUUUGCUAAGGAGCCAGAGCAGCUGAAGAGAAUGCUACUGGAAUUCAAAGUCAUUGACUGGAAGCAAAGCCUUCUGCUAUACUGCAUUUCAGGUUUCACCUUUGAUAUUUUGAAAGAAGUGGCAGAUGCAAAAGAUCUGACAUUGGAGAAUUUCACGAUGCCAAGCAAAAUAUUUAUUCAUCAUAAUCCAGAAAUUAUUGAGGAUGGUUGGUUUCACAAAUCAUCAAAGCUAUCCAGUGACACUACGUUCCUUGCAGAGCUCAUUAACAAAAAUACAAAGUACUGUGGAAGUGAACAAAGCCUGAAUUAUAUAAAGAAGUGUAUUGAACUUUUACCAUCUGCUUACAUAUUAGAUGACGAGGGCCACUUUAUGGGAUGGUGUCUGACUGACGAACUGUCCACAUUUAGGAUGGGUUACAUCCUUCCAGAAUUCAGAAACAAAGGCUAUAUGAAGAGACUAGUCACAAAUCUGGCAAAGUUGAUCCAUCAAAGGGGACAUCCCGCCUACACCUUUGUUACAAAAAGCAACACCAUAUCGCAGUUGCUUUGUAAAAGUCUUGGAAUGACAGAGUAUCCACAUACUUACUAUUAUCUCAAAAUGACUCCAAGGAAAAGUCGACUAUAAGACCUCAUAAUUUACAAAAAUGAAUUUCUUGCUGAUUAAAUUAAAUUUGAUAGGUAUACAUGUAUGAUAAAGAGUACAAGAUUACAUAAAGUUCAAUUGUUGAACAUAAAGUUUGAUUGUUUUUGCACUCUAAUACUACUUUAAUACAAUUUCUGUUCUUUCAGACAGAUCUAAAACAGCCAGUUGUUAUGCGAUUAAAAACACGAAGGUCCAAAACUGUGAGGUAACAUGUCCACCAAAGAAUAGGAAUUGACUUCACAACAACACCCAACAUGACACUGUGAUGGACAGCACAUGUUCAUUAUCGUUCAUGUGCUUCUAAAAACCAAGAACACUUAUUAAAAUAUUAAGUCAUUAUUACACUUAAAUGAUGAACUAUAGGCCACCAAGGGGUCCAGUUCUGUGUACGUCAAAUUAGCAAAUCAUUUAAAGUGGUAAAAUGAAUUAAAUGUGAAUCAUUAGUUACCUUUUCUUUAAAGUUACACUACAGUAUGCGCCACAGCAAAAAGACAUGAAUAACCAAAACAGAUUUACAAUUAUUAUCAAUUACAUUUUGAGAAUAGCCUACUGAGAUGGGCUACUGGAUCAGGAUUUCAAAUGUCUAGCUUAGAGGGGAUGUUUUCUUUUGAGGUGGGGUGGCAUAUCAUUUUCAAUCGUUUUUUGUCCUUUUAGGUCUACAACAUAUAUGCAAUAAGUACAUUCACCUCUUUAUAGCUAUCCCUUUUAAAAUCACAAGCUCUGUUGUACCAUAUGGCCUUGAAAAGUCAUAUUGCCCAUUUUUGUAAUCACUAAAUGAAACUGUACAAUGCUGUAUUUUCCAAAAUUGAAGAUUUUUGACCAUAAAAACUCAACACUUAUCUCACUUGCUCAUUUAAAAUAUGAACAACCUUGUCUGUUGAGAUAAAUGUAAUUUUCCUGUUGCCAUAUAACUCUUCAAUCUAAACUGUGUUUAUUUUUUGCCACUGACUCUCACUAUAUGACCAGCAUGAAUUAUAUUAGGGACAUAAGAAUAAACCAUCCUAUCUAUUACUAUCUAAAACAAUAUAAUUAAGACACACUUUCAGAAUAAUUACAUUCCAAUUUUUGAAGCAGUUACGAUAGACACACCGUUAUAAGGUUAUUCAUUCUAAUUUCGACUAAAUAAUUGUCAGUUGGUUUUGUACUUUGCUUUUCCUAAUUAAUACCUGUAACUUAUGCUACCUCCACAUUAUUACAUUUUCAUUUUAAAUAUGCAGACAUUAAUCUCUGUUUUUACCCUUCAUCUACACUAACCUGGGGUUUUUAACCCCCAAUAAUGGUGACUUUUAAAACCGCUCUGUAGGCCUGCAUACUCCAGAAAACUCUGGCUCAGUGUUGCAAUGUGGAUGGCCAAAAAUGUAGACGUUUAAAAAUGCAAACUCUAAUCACGCUCUGAUUUCCUCAUGCUUAUUACAUAGCCCUUCACGAUAGAAAACUGUAAUUCCAACAUAGCAGACAUGCAGGAAUUGCUUUCCAUGGUGUUUGUUGUUUUGCUUACCCAUAAGCAUCUAAACUAUGCUUUGUACAGUUUGAAUGCUGCAUACAAGCACAAAAGACAAAUAAUUUACCGGUUACUACAGCUUUGCAAUAAGUUUAAUGGCUGGCAGCAUUACCACCCCUUUAAGAGCUUUUCCUCCAAAGCGUCCAUGUCCAGUGUAAGUGAACCUCUAUGUCAUAUGCAUUUUCAGCCAUUUUAGUGUCUAUGGAGAUACUUUUGUAGUGUGGAUGGAGGUUGUGUUCAUUUAAAAACACAGUAGUGUCAAUGUAGCCCAAAACUCAGCCCUUCUUCAGUGAAGCCUGCCACGUAAUAAAACAUUGAAUAAUUCAUUGAAAAACAAGUCCGCUUAAUGAAUGACUGCCUGUAUUAUUUUACAAUGAUUUGCUUCCUUUAAGUGUUGUUAUGCUUAAUAAAGGCACUUUUAAUGGUUCUGCUAGCUAAAAAGUUGCCAUAUGCUGUUUAGAUAAAAUUCAUUUAUUCAAAACACAUCUGUAUAAGACAUGAAUGUGUGAAUAAUAUUUUUAUUAUUUUUUUCUAAUUCCAUGCUCAGUGGUUGUGUGUAAUUUAUGUGCCUUCCUUGUGCCUACAUGCUUUUUUCACUGCUUUUGUCUUGUAUUCUCCAAAGAUGUGCACAUGAGGUUUACAAAUGGCUAUAAAUUGGCAUUACACGUGUGUGUGUGUGUGUGUGUGUGUGUGUGUGCGCGCGUGUGUGUGUGUGUGUGGAGUGAGGCCUACAAUAGACUGCAGCUCCAUCCCAGGUGGGAGCCCCCCCACUCUGACCUUAGGUUUGUUGAGAAAGCCGUGGCUUAUCUUUAAUUGUAUUAAUUGUGUUAAAUCUCAGGCCUUAUUUUUAGCUGUAUGGCUACAUAUCAUAGAAUAUGCCAAAAAUCAUUCAAAAUUCUAUAAAUGUCUUCCAGAGCUGCUUCCCUGUAAUCUUAUUUCUGACGCACCAAUAUCAUGUUUUAUUACAGCGCUAUUGUAGGUUAAGCAGAAUAUUGCAUUUGUAAUUCACAAUGUGCUGAAAACAGAUUACAGUGAUUUGUGACAAUAAUGACCCCUUAGACCUUUAAUGUUCUAAAAUGAAGCAACUCUGAAGCUUCUCUUUUUUCUCUAUAUAGAUAUUACAGAAAUAAAUAAAAAUAAUUGAUAUCUUCAACAUCCUUUUUUAUUAUACUGCUUUAAAAUUUGCAGCAAGAGCUUCUAGAUGGUGAUGGAAUCUGUGCUUAUGUAAAUGAAUCAGAUGUUUAGAGGUUUCUUUUUAGCAUAAAAUUGUUAAAUGAUAAUUUGGGUACUUUCAUGUUUUACAUAUUUUAUUUGAAUUAUUGUUUUCACAGUAACCAUACAGAAUGCUUGUAAAAUUGGUUUAUGGAGUAUUUAAUGGAAUAAAAGGCUGCCAACAUUUGUCAAGUGGAAAGAUUUACAGGGUGAAUAAGUCUAGAA